GAAAUAAUAUUAAGAAUGAGGGGUGAGUUCAACCAACUCAGUGAGGGAAUAAUAAUUAAUAUACAUUUUAGAUAUUCUUGAUAUUUAUAGUUCGCAAGAUCAUUUAUCUUGAUAUACAUAUACAUAUACAUACUAAACUUAUCAUAUACAUAUCAUAUACAUACUAAACGUAUCAUCAUAACGUAGUGGACUAUAUGUCAGAGAUCAGAUGACACCCGAAGGUGACCAGAUGACACCCGAAGGUGACCAGACCAGAUGACACCCGAAGGUGACCACUGUGGGAUGAUCAGUCGCCACAGGCUGAUGCCUCUCUCACCAGCUAGGUAUACAUACAGAAUACUAUGUGCACACAGGCUAACUACUCUCCGUUAGCAUGGAGUUACUGACAAGUCCCAUAUCAAGGCAUAAUAGAUAUUCACAUAAUCAUCAAGAAACGUAUAUCAUAUCAAAUAGGAUUUACUUUGACAGAUUGCGAGUGCAAAUUCAAGAAUAAAUGAGUACUCGGAAAAUAAGCAACAUAUAUAAUUAUUCAAGGAAUUAACGAGUUGUACUCAUUGUAUAAUCAACAUACAUAUUUACUUAUCAUAUAUGCAUAUUAAAGAUUAUUCCACUCACCCGGAAAAUAUAGAACUAAAAGGAAUGUCAGACGAAAGACCCGAAAAUCCUAUUGAGGAUCGUUAGGAGAACCUACAACAAUACGAAAAUAUACUCAAAAGCAACUCAAACAAGAGAUCCCAAUGCAUAAAAGAAAACCAGGUUUAGUCUCCUAAGUUUAUGGACUAAAACGAUAAUUUUCCAAAACAGGGACCAAAACGUAAUUUUACCAAAAUUGGACCAAUCUGGAAAAUACAUAACUAUACUGAAUUUUCACCCAUAAACCAUCCUUAAUUCUGUCUAGAACGAACCAGGGACCGAACUGUAAUUUUCAUAAAGUUCAGGGACUAAAAUGUAAAUUCCCGAAAUUGAGGGACCAAACUGAAAAUAUUCCAAAUCAAUUAUCAAACUCAGAUUCAUCAUCCUUAACCUCAUAAUAACACUGUCCAGAAUCUCAAAAUACAAUUAGGGGUCAAAUUAUAAUUUUACCAAAGUUUAGGGACUAAAUUGUAAUUUCACAAAUUGAGGGACCAAAUUGAAUUUUCGUCAUCUUCAACCUCAAACCCAGAAUUUCACAGAUUACCUACUGUCAUCUUCUGAUUUCUAACACAAUUUCACCAUUCAAACAAAAUCAUAACUCAAAAUCAUCAUCUUUACCUCCAAUCUCUCACAAUCAACUAAUUAACCAAUUACCCACAACAAUCAACCCAUAACCUUCCAAUUAAUUCAUCAAUCAAACUCAAAACACAAUAUUCAAAACCCUAACAUUUAUCAAAACAGAACUUAAAGCUUAAAGAACACACAUUUAUACAUAAUCUUACCUUUAAACUUAUUUUCCUCUACUUCUCUCCCUUUUCCCUUCUCUUCCCCUCUUUUCUCUUCUUCUUCUUCCUCCUCCCUUCUCUCUCACGGUUUGCUCCUUCCAUUUUCAGAUCCCUCUUUCUUUCUUCUUCUUUCUUUUAUUUAUAUUUAUCAACUAUUGUUCAAUUACCACAAUACCCCUCAUUUAAUUAUACUUACUUCUAAGCCUCCAAGGGCUUGGUUGCCCUUUCCUACUAAUUUAUUUGCAAAACAUCACAAUCUCCCCACCUUAUAAAAGUUUCGUCCUCGAAACUUAAAAUUUAAGAACCAAAGUCUUACCAUCAUGAUCAAAUAAAUUAUUUAAAACUUAUCUCUAAAAUUGUAUUUCUUAAACUAUCAUUUAAAGUCCACUUAAAAAAAAAAUCAAUAUAUAGCACCAUGCUUUCGUUGCGCACUCUGAUAUAUCCACUGAAAAAAAUAUCUCAUGCAUAACUUUUCUUAAUUCAUAUCCCUCAAAAUCAAACAACACACCCUUCAAUUUCUCUUGAAUCAACUUUUCUCAAAUAACUUAUCUCAAAUCAUAUCUCUUCAAAAAUCAAAACGCAUCCUCAUAAUUUAUUUAUUUUUAAGCAUCAGGUAAAAGAAUUCAGCCUUAUAGUUGGGGAAUGUCAUGAAGUAACAGAGUCUAAUGAACAACAACAAUUAUGAGCUCAAACUUUCAAGAGGUAUCAAUCAUGGAGGAGAUUUCGCUUGCAAAAGCAAUAAGCGAUGAAGAUGAUAAGAUGUAUGUAGUUCUCUCAACCACCAUAACAACUAAAGAGUCAGAUGAAAUGAUAAAGACUAUAAAGGAGGAACAUAGUUGUUGUGACAAGAUUAAGGCAACAAUUAUGGUAAAGAUAACAAAAACCAGCUUGGAAGAAGCUUAGAUGGAUGAAAAGUUGUUAUAUGGUUUCAAUAUUACCUCAAAUGAUAGUGUUUCUCUUGAAAUUGAAGCAAAAACAUGUUUGAUAAGAAAAAAAAAAUCAAAGAUAACAUGGGACUUAAGAUACCCUACUUGAGAACUGAGGAUGCAUAGUAUAAGCAGUUUGGUGUGCUUCCGUCAUCACAUCUCUUUUCAAACCAUCCACCUCAGGCACACAUAACCUGGAACCAAAUCUCAACACACCAUCUUCAUGGAUAACAAAACCCGGAGCUCUCCCUAACUCCAACUCAUCUCUAAUCUUGCAAAGUCGCUCAUCCUUCAUUUGAGCUACUUUAAUUCGGUCUACCAAGUCUGACAUAGCCUGAAAGUGAGCCAACAAUGCUCCCGAUUCACAAAUCUCAAAACUGACCCUCUCAUCUAACAAUCAGUGUAACUCUUUAAUCAAAGGUCUCCUCACCUCCUGAAUAUGAGCCAAACUACCCAUAGAUUUUCUGCUUAAGGCAUCGGCAACAACAUUUGCCUUGCCCGGGUGAUAUUGAAUCGUGCAAUCAUAAUCACUUAACAAUUCCAUCCACCUUUUCUAUCUCAAAUUCAGAUCCUUAUGCUGGAAGAUAUAUUGAAGACUUUUAUGAUCUGAAAAUAUCUCACAUGUCUCCCCAUACAAGUAGUGUCUCUAAAUUUUAAGGGCAAACACUACUGCAACCAUCUCCAAAUCAUGUGUGGGGUAAUUUUGUUCGUGCUUCUUCAACUUUCUCGAGGCAUAAGCAAUCACAUUACCGUUCUGCAUCAAAACACAACCCAAACCAAUCCUGGAUGCAUCAUAGUACACGGUAAAACCACCAGACCCUGAAGAUACUGUUAAAAUAGGAGCUGUAAUUAACCUUUCCUUCAACUCCAGGAAACUCUUUUCACAUUCUUCUGACCAUUGAAACUUGACAUUUUUUUUUUUUUGUCAACUUAGUCAUUGGAGCAGCAAUUCAGGAAAAAUUCUCCACGAAUCUCCUGUAAUAUCAUGUUAAACCCAUAAAACUCCUAAUCUCAGAUAUUGUAACUGGUCUAGGCCACUGCUUAAUUGCCUCCACUUUUUGUGGAUCAACCUCUAUCCUAUUCUUGGACACUACAUGUCCCAGAAACCCAACAGUUUCUAACCAAAACUCACUCUUCAAGAAUUUUCCAUACAACUGAUGAUCUCUCAGAGUUUGAAGCACCAAUCUCAAAUGCUGCUCAUGCUCUUCUCUAGACCUCGAAUACACCAAAAUGUCAUCAAUGAACACAAUAACAAACUUAUCAAUAAACGGCCUAAAAACCCUGUUCAUCAUGUCCAUAAAAGCUGCAGGUGCAUUCGUUAACCCAAAAGACAACACUAGGAACUCGUAAUGCCCAUAACGAGUCCUAAAGGCAGUUUUAGGAACAUCCUCAUUCCUAAUCCUCAACUGGUGAUACCCCGAUCGCAAAUCAAUUUUUGAGAAACAUUGAGCUCUUUGUAAUUGAUCAAAAAGGUCAUCAAUGCGAGGGAGUGGGUAUUUAUUCUUAACAGUGACCUUGUUCAACUGCCUAUAGUCUAUACACAUCCUCAUUGAUCCAUCAUUGGGACCUCUAUGUUCACAUCAUGCACAUAAGCCAAAAACCCAUGCAUACCCUUCUGUACCAUCCUUCUCGUACCAUCCUUCUCGUGAUGGCCGGGAAAAUACUAGAUGGAGAUGAUACUUUAUCUUCAUGAAAAGCAAAUUUGUAUCCUCAUUAGGUUUGAAAGCUAUUAUCUUAUUCCAACAAUCAACUGAGACAUGGUGUCUUGACAACUAAUCCAUACCUAAUAUCACAUAAAAUGCUCACUAUUUCUAAAAGUACCAAAUCACCCAAUUUUAGAUAAGUAUAUUAAUCAACAUAUAGAUCAUAAUCAAAAGCCUAUAAUAACAACCUUCAUAAGUAAUUCUCCAAUAACAGUCUCAUCAUCCAUAACUAAUUAAUCAUAUUUCAACUUUCUCCUGCAUUUAAAAUCUAUAUUUCUGAAAUAAAAAUAUUGCGGAAAGAGAUGAGCGUCCACGACUCAAAAAGUAAUCAAAAUAAACACACCCAGAAAAAUAUUAUCAAACACAAAUUUUUCAUUGAAUAUUGUCAACGAUAUAUAUAUCAUAGAAAAAGAUUAUUAGACAUAUUUUUCAGAAUACUUACCAAAGAUAACACAUAUAGAUAUAAAUAUGAUGUAAAAUCAGAUUUAAAUACAAAAAUACUAUAAGUUGUUCAAUUACUUAAAAGCACAUACUUACAUUCAAUAUACACUCACUAACAUGAUUUGCACAUAUACAUACUUUUAGAGCACUACAAAUCAGAAAAUCAGCUCAUUUACAUAUAUUAUAUAUACUUCCAAAAAAAAUAUAUUUAUACCAAAUACUUAUGCUUAAGUAUUUUCAAGAAAUAUUAUUACUCAAAUACACGUUUUAUGCAAAUACUUUCAAAGAUAUACUUAUAUCAAAUAUUCACACACACAAGUAUAUGCAAAACACGUAUACCACAUAUAUUAUAUCCAAGAAUAUACUUAUAUCAAAUAUUGUCAGCCAUGUAUGAAAAACACAUAUUAUACAUAGUAUAUCCAUUGAUAUAUUUAUAUCAACCAUUCACAUAAUAUAUAUUUCCCCACAUGUAUAUCAACACGGCAAUAAAAAAAAAAGUUCAAAGAAGACAAUGAGGAAUCACAAUAAGACAAGAAGGAUCCUAAGCUCCACAUAUUACAAGUUUUUUUUUUUUUAAAAAAAAGGACCAAGUUUUAACAAAACCAAGCUACAGGGAUUUAACAAGAACCUGGCUCUGAUACCACCUUUGUAACGACCCGAAUCCCGGGUCCAUGACCGGCAACGCAGGAGCGGUGCCGGAAGGACACCCCGCCCGCGCUAAGCCUCAAAACGAACAUAUCAAAAGAAUAAUUUAUUCAAAAAUACGCAGCAUUUCAUAAUCUUCAGAAAUAUUAUAUCCUUCAAAACUGAUGAAACCAAAAGAUAGUUUAAAACUCUUCAUCAGUAAUUAAAACAAAAACAAUAAUCCAUAAUACUCAUUACAUUGUCAAAAAUCCAAACUUAAUUAAAACAAGGUAAUAGUGGAGCGCCUAAGACAUCGAAUCAAACAGCCUUGAAAGAUAAGCAAGGCAUACCGACCCAAAACUGAAGAAGCAGGAACACUCAACAAGGUUCACCUGCUAUCAGAAACUAAGAACCUGAAAUAAUAUUAAGAAUGAGGGGUGAGUUCAACCAACUCAGUGAGGGAAUAAUAAUUAAUAUACAUUUUAGAUAUUCUUGAUAUUUAUAGUUCGCAAGAUCAUUUAUCUUGAUAUACAUAUACAUAUACAUACUAAACUUAUCAUAUACAUAUCAUAUACAUACUAAACGUAUCAUCAUAACGUAGUGGACUAUAUGUCAGAGAUCAGAUGACACCCGAAGGUGACCAGAUGACACCCGAAGGUGACCAGACCAGAUGACACCCGAAGGUGACCACUGUGGGAUGAUCAGUCGCCACAGGCUGAUGCCUCUCUCACCAGCUAGGUAUACAUACAGAAUACUAUGUGCACACAGGCUAACUACUCUCCGUUAGCAUGGAGUUACUGACAAGUCCCAUAUCAAGGCAUAAUAGAUAUUCACAUAAUCAUCAAGAAACGUAUAUCAUAUCAAAUAGGAUUUACUUUGACAGAUUGCGAGUGCAAAUUCAAGAAUAAAUGAGUACUCGGAAAAUAAGCAACAUAUAUAAUUAUUCAAGGAAUUAACGAGUUGUACUCAUUGUAUAAUCAACAUACAUAUUUACUUAUCAUAUAUGCAUAUUAAAGAUUAUUCCACUCACCCGG
rnacentral:lncRNA from 1 species